rnacentral:piRNA from 1 species
CAGACGAUUAGGAAACUUGCCAGAAU